rfam:Triticum aestivum genome assembly, contig: Triticum_aestivum_CS42_TGACv1_scaffold_458951_5DS
CUAGUACUCCCUCCGUCCGGAAAAACUUGUCACAAGCUUGUCCCUUAAAUGGAUGUAUCUAGCACUAAUUUGGUGCUAGAUACAUCCAUUUAAGGGACAAGUUUUUCCGGACGGAGAGAGUAUAUG